rnacentral:rRNA from 1 species
UACGGAGGGUGCAAGCGUUAUCCGGAUUUACUGGGUUUAAAGGGUGUGUAGGCGGACUUUUAAGUCAGAGGUGAAAUCCCAAGGCUCAACCUUGGAACUGCCUUUGAUACUGGGGAUCUUGAGUCCGGGAGAGGUGAGUGGAACUGCGAGUGUAGAGGUGAAAUUCGUAGAUAUUGGGAAGAACACCGGUGGCGAAGGCGGCUCUCUGGACCGAUACUGACGCUGAGGUGCGAAAGCGUGGGGAGCAAACAGG